UAAAAAAUAGAUAAAUAAACUGACUUUCAAAAAUCAGUAAAUGAAAGAAACAUGCGUCGAAUUUAUUGCCCCCAGCCUUUAGUAGAUCAUUUCCAACUACUCCAGUAUUACUCGAUCAACUCGUUAUACCUUUUCCCAACAUCUCUCUCAAUUCCCAACUUUAAUUACUCCUUCUGAACUACCAAACUCCAUCAUCAAUUACCCGGCCUCAUUGAUAAAUUGUUCUUCCAUCCCCAACUCCUCCCUCAAUCUCUUUCACUCUGCUUUCUCGAUAUGUCAUGGUUGGAAGUUGAAGUAAAGGUCCAAGUUUGGAAGCUUCAAAGAUGACAGGAUAUUUGCUGGGUACAACAAAACAUUGAGGGUGUUUGGUGUACAUCGCCCUGACAGAGAUUUUAAAAAACAUUCCACUCUUGAAGGAUCCAAAGAAGGGAAGUCUAGUACAACAUUCUUCCUUUUCACAUAAUUGCACAACUUUUGCGAAGGAUUUUGAUUGUUUUAGAAUUUCGUUCAAGCUAAGUUUUAGUUUAGGGCUUAAAAUAAGAGUCUUGGUUGUUGAUAAGAAAAGAUUCCAAGUUCCUAAACUCAGGUGAACUUAUCCUGAUGUAAAGUGAAUUUAACGAAAUUAAGAUGUUUCAACCUGUUUCUGUAUUGCUUUAAGAGUGAGUGGCUACGAUGUUUGAAAGCUGAGGACAGUUUCUGCUACUGUGUAGGUAUCACUUGUCUUUAGACCUCCCUCCUUUUGUGGAAUUUGUGGCAAAAUAUGAAGUUUAUGAAAAUGGAAAAAGGUGAGGUAAUUUUUGUCAUACCAUAAUAAGAGUGCAAGAACUAUUAAACACCAUUCUUAUACUAUCAUACUAUCAUAUUUGUCAUACCCGUUUCACCUGCAAUUCACCUGAUGUGCCCGCAUGAGGGGGAAUAAGUUUAUUUUGAGUUGUUUGUUAAGUAAACUCAGGAGCAUUGAGAUAUUGAAUCUGAAGCUAUAUGAUAAUGAUGAUGAUGUGAUAAGGUUGCUGCAGGAGGUUCUUACUAAUGCAAAUGUUUUGGAGGAUCUUAAUGUGUGGGUUCGUUUUCAUUCUGAUAAAAUUGAAAAGAAAUUGAGGAUGAGGGAAUUCGAGUUCUGUAAGAAAUUGUUUAUGCUUCCAAGGAGUUCACUAAGCUGCCAGAUUGACUUCUCUGGAAAACUCUUCCAAUUUUUUAAGAAAGACUUCGUAGAUGGUGAACUUUGCAUCAACAGAAAUUGAAUAGUGAGGGUAAGUUACAAGAAGGCAAUUAACAUGUGAUUUGCAUCUACUUUUGACGGGUAGAUGAAGAAGACGCAACACCAUGGAAAACUGAAGUGAUUCUUGGUUUGAUGGCUGACAAGGGACACCUGUCUCAUAAAGUUUCAAUGUUGAAGAGGAAUGUUGGUGAAUCAAACAACACAGUUAGGAGGGUGUAGAAGAAAAUAUGUUUUGUUGAUGUUGCAUAGUUUCAGUGGUGGGAUUGGUUGUUGAUUUUGGGUUCUUUUCAAUGUAUGUGUUGUUUUUGCCUUGCUGUUGAUGAUGGAGAAGUAGUCGUGAUAGUGAUGAUGUAGAUGUUAGGUGUUGUUGUUUAUUAUGAUGUUAGUUGGUGUUGAUGAUGAUGAUGUUAGAUUUUGGCUUAACCUAGGGUAGUAGGUUGUAACUCAGGUACUAUUGGUUUAGUGUUCGUAGUGGUUACAUAAACCCGAGUUGUGUGGACAAAUUUUUUGCAUU